rnacentral:rRNA from 1 species
GACUGUACAAAGGUAGCAUAAUCAUUUGUCUUUUAAUUGAAGGCUGGUAUGAAUGGUUGGAUGAGAAAAAUACUUUCUUUAUUUUAUAUAUAAAAUUUAAUUUUUUAGUUAAAAAGCUAAAAUUUUAUUAUAGGACGAGAAGACCCUAUAGAACUUUAUUAUUAAAUUAAUAUAAUUUAUUGGUUUAUUAUAGAAUAAUAUUUUUAUAAUAAUUUUGUUGGGGUGAUAAAAAAAUUUAUAAAACUUUUUUUAAUUGUUACAUAUAUUUGUGUAUAUUUGAUCCUAUAUUAUGGAUAGAAAGAUUAAGUUACCUUAGGGAUAACAGCGUUAUUUUUUCGGAGAGUUCAUAUUGAUGAAUAAAGUUUGCGACCUCGAUGUUGGAUUAAAAUAAGUGAUAGAGGUAGAGUGUUAUUAUCUAGGUCUGUUCGACCUUUAAAUUUUUACA